rnacentral:tRNA from 1 species
UUUUUUUUAAAGUAUUAUUCCUGGAACAAAGGAUCUAUAUCCUAUUUUUUAAAUGCAAAUCAAACCUUUUUUUU